GUCCACUGGAGUGAUACAACCAGAACUCUCCUGUUGCCUUUGCGGGAGCACGGCUGGGAUUGGUCUGGCGGAUUUUCACUUGAUCGGCUUGGAGAUACCCAAGUUAAAGUUUACAACCAUUUGACUGGUGAAAGAGAUGCUUCGGGUGGUGGUCAGCGACGCAAAUGCUGCGGGUGACAGCAUUGGUUCGGGAAAUGACAGGCUCGGGACGUUCUAUAUCAUCGUGACAAAUGAUGAAACAGGUUCAUGCCUUAUCGAAUCGACAACUUUUUGAAGGAGAAGCUGAGAUUCUACCACAAGAAGUGCCAGAAAACUGAGAACGUGCUGCAGCCUUAUAGUUCACGUGACUAUACUUGGGAUGAGCCUUGCCUGCCUAUACAUCUUGUCAUCGAGGUUCCAGGCGAAGGAACUCUUGGAACAUUCCGUCCAUACAGUUGGACAGGUUUGUAAUACAAUUUAAUAUCACUGUUUGUGAUCAAAUGGUUCGUGUGGGAUUUUACAAAAACGAGAGGGCCGUUUUGUUGUUUCUUUGCAUGCAAAGAGUCCUUAGCGUUGUCGACUUACUUCUCCAUACCACAAAGGACUUACGAAUGCUAAAUCCUCGCAUAGAAGAGACUUUCAGAGAUUCCAGAAAGGGUUCUUCGCAAGAUUGUUCCUUGAAACUGGCAUCUAGUGCAACCACGCUUGUCAGGAACUUACGUUGGCAUCAGCGAGAGGCUUUGAGUUGCAGUUUUUCCAGACUCAGCAGAAGAUGAAAAUGUAAAUCGGAUUGCUCCAAGUCGACAACGAACUCCGCCAUGCCAUUUAUCCCGUCCUACUUUCUACCGCGAAGUCUUCGGGCAUCUUGAUGAGAGGCAUAAGAAGCAGUGAAUGGAACUCGUCUGGACAGUUAACACAGGAGAAGAGCGAGAACCCGCACUCUGCUAUUGUCUCAAAAUGCAGGCAUCCAAUCGGCGCGGUUCAUUGCUACCAAUGCAUCUACUGGAGCAUUGCUCCAUUGCGUCUACAGUUGGAAGAACGCAAGUUAACCUACCUGUUGGGACCUUUCAAAGGUCUUUUUGUUGGAGGGUCUGCUACGGGAACCGAGAAAUCUGUGUCUUUCAAGUUACAGCGCUCCGGAUGGGGUAGUUCUUCAAACGUUCUGAGCAGCUUGAGAUUCGUCGAGACGAUGGAACCAAACAUGGCCCUAUAAUUGCGCAGUAGAGCCUGCGAAAGGUCCGACACAGAAGCUCAUCAUCUCUGUCAAGCAGAGGAGGAAGGUCUACGUGUUGAGGCUUAUCAUAUCGACCAGCUGGAGCUUACAGUGAGCUUUUCAAGCAUUCCCUGGUGUAGCUGCACAGUCCCUGCUUUGGGUGACAGGAUCGUUGGUACAG